rnacentral:rRNA from 1 species
GGAGCUCGGAUCACUAGUACGGCGCAGUGUGCGGAAUCGCCCUUAGAGUUGAUCCUGGCUCAGAGUGAACGCUGGCGGCAGGCCUAACACAUGCAAGUCGAGCGGUAACAGAGAGAAGCUGCUUCUCUGCUGACGAGCGGCGGACGGGUGAGUAACGCGUAGGAAUCUACCUAUUAGUGGGGGAUAAGCCAGAGAAAUUUGGUCUAAUACCGCAUACGCCCUACGGGGGAAAGGAGGGGAUCUUCGGACCUUUCGCUAUUAGAUGAGCCUGCGUAAGAUUAGCUAGUUGGUGAGGUAAUGGCUCACCAAGGCGACGAUCUUUAGCUGGUCUGAGAGGAUGAUCAGCCACACUGGGACUGAGACACGGCCCAGACUCCUACGGGAGGCAGCAGUGGGGAAUAUUGGACAAUGGGGGGAACCCUGAUCCAGCCAUGCCGCGUGUGUGAAGAAGGCCUUCGGGUUGUAAAGCACUUUCAGUUGUGAGGAAAGGUUAGUAGUUAAUACCUGCUAGCUGUGACGUUAGCAACAGAAGAAGCACCGGCUAACUCCGUGCCAGCAGCCGCGGUAAUACGGAGGGUGCGAGCGUUAAUCGGAAUUACUGGGCGUAAAGCGCACGCAGGCGGUUUGUUAAGCUAGAUGUGAAAGCCCCGAGCUCAACUUGGGAUGGUCAUUUAGAA